CAGAUGAGGACUAUCUCCAGUUGGUGUUAGGCAGCUGAUGUUUUAGUAACUUCAGCCUGCUCCAAGAGGCCAAUACUAGCAAUUUGUGGCCAUCCAGUAUCUCAGGAGGCACCACUCCUAUCUCCUCACAUGUGGGCUAGCUAUUAUCCACUGCCCUGAACUGAGAGCUAAAGACAGAUGGGCAGCUGCAGAAAGUGAGAAGUGGCAUUACUGCUUGACAUCUACCAAAUACUACAAAUACCGAAUACAUCCCUGAAACAUGGAAGAUGCUGAAUUUUCACCAUUUUGGAUUUAAACUUCAUUGCUGAACAAUAAGAAAGAUCUCUACACCUUUUCUGCCAUCUGACAUCACGAAGGAAGGAAUCCUGCCUUAUCUGCACAUCAAAGAGCAACACAACAAAGUCACUCUCAUGGACUCAGAGGAACAGACUUCCACCUUCAGCUUCCUCAGUGAAAAAAUGAAGUUUAUUUUCUACCUAUGGGAACUUCUUACCAUCUCUAAUUUUCCCUGAGCCUGAAGAAGGGCGUGUGCGCCUGAAAGCUUGGAGAAAAAGCACCCACAGUGCUGAUAAGAGGAGAAAGAAAGCACAAAUUCUUGAUCAUCACUGAUAUCCCCAAGAGGAUUAAAAGGGAACAUUCAGAGCUGGAAAAGAACUUCUUCACCACAUCUUACUGACCAUGACUACUGGCCAUAGGACAGUGCUCCUCUUCUCUCAGCAGACUCAAAGAAGAUGUCUGAAAAGUAGCAGUUUCUGGGAAAUUGAUCUACAUAAAAUGAGAAGAAUCAUGAAGGAGACCACCAAAGGUACCAAGAUGACUACCUCUCUGGAAGUCAGCGAGUAGUAGGUGCCUACUUCCAAUUUGUGCUUUAGAAAAUAUCCCAGAAUAGCAUCAAGGAGGAUGAAAGAAGAGCUAAAACCAGCAGAAAAAAGAGGUAUUCUAUUGGAAGAAAAUAAUAUCCUUUUUCUGAAUUGUAUCAGGAAAGCAUUUUCUGUACACAAUGUUUUGGGGUCACAAUGCAAAAGCAUUUUCUCACCUCAGUUUUGCAGAGAAUAAACUUGUUUGUGCCAGCACCUUUUGAAAACUGUAACUGUAAAUCCCUGCAGGUACACUAGCUUGGGAAUAAAUUGUGAUUGGGCUAAUUUUACCAGUGAUUUUCUGGUUUAAUUACAGUGACCAGCU